rnacentral:rRNA from 1 species
AUUGAACGCUGGCGGCAUGCUUUACACAUGCAAGUCGAACGGCAGCGAGGAGAAGCUUGCUUCUCUGUCGGCGAGUGGCGCACGGGUGAGUAUAGCAUCGGAACGUGCCAAGUAGUGGGGGAUAACCAAACGAAAGUUUGGCUAAUACCGCGUAAGCUCUAAGGAGGAAAGUAGGGGACCUAAAUAAGGCCUUACGCUAUUUGAUCGGCCGAUGUCGGAUUAGCUAGUUGGUGGGGUAAUGGCUCACCAAGGCAAUGAUCCGUAGCGGGUCUGAGAGGACGAUCCGCCACACUGGGACUGAGACACGGCCCAGACUCCUACGGGAGGCAGCAGUGGGGAAUUUUGGACAAUGGGGGAAACCCUGAUCCAGCCAUGCCGCGUGUAUGAAGAAGGCCUUAGGGUUGUAAAGUACUUUUGUUAGGGAAGAAAAGCUAGUUUUUAAUAAAAAUUAGUGAUGACGGUACCUAAAGAAUAAGCACCGGCUAACUACGUG